UACAGAGGUGGCAAGCGUUGUUCGGAAUUACUGGGCGUAAAGGGCGCGUAGGCGGUUCCGCAAGUCCUGUGUGAAAUCCCCCGGCUCAACUGGGGAACUGCACAGGAAACUGCGAGGCUAGAGUUCGGGAGAGGGAAGCGGAAUUCCGGGUGUAGCGGUGAAAUGCGUAGAUAUCCGGAGGAACACCGGUGGCGAAGGCGGCUUCCUGGACCGAUACUGACGCUGAGGCGCGAAAGCUAGGGGAGCAAAC
rnacentral:rRNA from 1 species